UACGGAGGGUGCGAGCGUUGUCCGGAAUCAUUGGGCGUAAAGGGCGCGUAGGUGGCCCGGUCAGUCUUUGGUGAAAGCGCGGGGCUCAACCCUGCGUCGGCCAGGGAUACUGCCGCGGCUGGAGCACUGUAGAGGCAGGCGGAAUUCCGGGUGUAGCGGUGGAAUGCGUAGAGAUCGGGAAGAACAUCAGUGGCGAAGGCGGGUCUCUGGACAGUUCCUGACACUGAGGCACGAAGGCCAGGGGAGCAAACGGG
rnacentral:rRNA from 1 species